ACAACUUGUAUAGGGUGUACAAAUGUACAAAGCUGGGCUUGUUUCAGUGGGCAGGCUUCUACAUAUUUACAGUUACUAGCUCACUAUGGACCGUAUGAAUCAUUCCAUAUCCUAAUAUUGUCAAAACAAAUAGUUGUGUUUUGUGAGCACGUCCUUCACACUUCUUUUCAAGGAUUCAAUGCAAAACUAACUCACUGAUACCUAUAUGCUUAAUAAUAUAUCCUGAAGCAGGUUGAAUGGUUCAGGAAAAGCCCAUCCAUAAAGUUUCAGGAGCCUUGUUCUAUUUGUAUUCCCAUAUCAUAGUGCUCUACAUAAGAUAUUUCGAUGCUAAGAGAUACGCUUUUGUCCAUCAGUCACGAAGCUCUAAGUUUUGAGCUGUUUAUGGACACUUCCACCAGCAACAUGACUUAAUUGUGGCCAAACAAUUUUUUAAAAAAAAUGGUGAUGUUUUAUCGACAUUCCCACCACACCAGGGAAGUUUUUGCUGAAAGAAGUGUCAAGGCUGCUGGAAAAGUAUCAGUGACAUAACUAUCAGAGAAUAGGUCUAAAGAGAGGGGAGAAACAUAAGAGGUUUCAUCAUUAGCUUUUGCUACAACCAACAAAUGAACCUACCACUCAAUCCCAAUAGUAACGGGCAAAGUUGGGUAUGUUAGGUGGUAGGGCAGUUUCAUGCAUACCGUAAAUUUGAAAAAUACAAGAAAGAUGUCUUAUCGACAUUCCCACCACACCAGGGAAGUUUUUGCUGAAAGAAGUGUCAAGGCUUCUGCAAAAGUGUCAGUGACACAACUAUCAGAGAAGAGGUCUCAAGAGAGGGGAGAAACACAAGAGGUUUCAUCAUUAGCUUUUGCUACAACCAACAAAUGAACCUACCACUCAAUCCCAAUAGUAACGGACAAGGUUGUGUAUGUUAGGUGGUAGGGCAGUUUCAUGCAUACCGUGAAUUUGAAAAAUUCAAGAAAAAAAUGAUGUCUUAUCAGCAUUCCCACCACACCAGGGAAGUUUUUGUUGAAAGAAGUGUCAAGGCUGCUGGAAAAGUGUUGGUGACACAACUAUGGAAAAGUGUCAGUGACACAACUAUCAGAGAAGAGGUCUAAAGAGAGGGGAGAAACAUAAGAGGUU
rnacentral:lncRNA from 1 species